AACAGGAUACUAAAGCUAUUUUUUUCUGGAAAUUAAUUUUUUAUCUUUUUCAGUAUGCCCUUUACACUGUGCUGAACAUUCCAUUCAAUUUCACUUCUGUGAGCCUUUCUAUUUCUUCCUUAGAAGGUUGCUAUAAAGUUUAUUGUAUUGUAUCUAACAAUGCAAAUUAAAUACUAAUCCUGUGACAUUACAAUUUUUGUUAGCUUGACAUGCCUGCAAUCAGGGAGUGGUGGUGUCUACGUCUAAUUGAGUGGUUUGAGACAGAAGGGUAUGUGUAUUCGUUUCUUUACAUCUCAGUUUGGCGUUUCAUUCUUUGUUCCUUCCUUGUCAGUAGGAGCAAAUUGAUGUUAUUUACACUCACCUGACUUCAAUUCUGGACAGCAUACCCACACACACCCACAGUGACCAGAUUUGAUUCAUUAUGGAUGUCCCUUUUCCAGAGUCCAUCAUCUGUGCUCUUGCUGUUGUGGAACAUGUGUCCAUCUUGGAGGCUGAGGAGAAAUUCCUGGGGGGACCUGUCAUUGACACAAAAUACUUGAGCGGGAGCACUUUGACAGCAGGAUAAAAAAAACAGUAAAAGAAGAGUGGAAAACCAUAGGAGAGUGAUGGUGUUAAUAAAAAAAUUGUGAACCACAA